UUUUUAUCAACUAACAAUGUUUUAGUCAUUUAAGUUCAUUUUAUUUUUCACUUAGUUUACGCGUAUACCACUGCUCAAUACACGUGGCUUCCAUGCUUUACCAUCAAAUUUUUCUCAACUAUGUUGGAUAUCUUCAUCUAGUAUUCUUCAUCCUCCUCCAUUACUAUUGCAAUGUCAAGGUACAAGCCGAUGAGAUUCAAUUUCUCCAUAUAGACAUGGUGUCUUCAAGUCCAUCGAAUUUUACAAGAUUGAUUAUGAAUUGAUCGAGAUUCAACUUAAAGUGGUAAGCUUUCAUGCUUCGAAAGGCCCUAUUUAAGGAUUAUAUGUUUUCCUUUUUAGUUAUAGACUAUUGGAUACUGUUUUUGGCUAUAGUUGGGGGCAUGUCCUGACACUUUAUUGAUAUUUGGUUUGAUUGAGGCUUUGUCGGACUACUGUGGACUUGAGAUGGUUUGGUUGUUGGCUGG